UUCGCAUCAUAACAGUUAUGGUGAAUUUGGGGCGAUGGUCAAGCCAGAGUUCUUUUUUCGCCACCUAUCAUUAUCGUGUUCUUUUUUCGCCUUAGGCAAUUACUCUCACUAGGUGAUAGUUAGUCCGAAGCCUAGUAUUGCAACCUUCUUUUAUUUUUUCUUGAUCUCUUUAGAUAGGUACUCUUUUUUUUCCUUCAAAUUUUUUUUCACUGGAUUUUCUUUAAGGAAAUUUUAAUGAGGUAUGGCCUUUAGUCUGCUUCUGUGUGCUUUUAAUGAUUUCUCUAUGAUUUUUUUCUUUUCUUAUUUAAGAAAAUCGCAAUUUAAUAAAAUAAUAACUAGUCCCUCAU
rnacentral:lncRNA from 1 species